UCGAGAAUCUUCCGCAAUGGACGAAAGUCUGACGGAGCGACGCCGCGUGCGGGAUGAAGGCCCUUGGGUUGUAAACCGCUGUCAGAGGGGAUGAAAUCUUCGGAGGUACUCCUCCGAAGUUGACAGAGCCUCAAAGGAAGCACGGGCUAAGUACGUGCCAGCAGCCGCGGUAACACGUACUGUGCGAACGUUAUUCGGAAUCACUGGGCUUAAAGGGUGCGUAGGCGGCGAUUCAAGUCAGAUGUGAAAUGCCUGAGCUCAACUGAGGCAUUGCGUUUGAAACUGAACCGCUAGAGUAUUUCAGGGGUGUGCGGAACUGCCAGUGGAACGGUGAAAUGUGUUGAUAUUGGCAGGAACACCGGAGGCGAAGGCGGCACACUGGGGAAUAACUGACGCUGAGGCACGAAAGCCAAGGGAGCGAACG
rnacentral:rRNA from 1 species